rnacentral:sRNA from 1 species
AGUGCGGAGGAGGCGCGGCAGGGGCACGGGCUGUUGUUGCAGGGCGGCAGGGCGGCCCAGACAGGACGCCUUGCCUCCUUUCUCUCCUACAACCGCUUUUUAAAAAUCUGUUUCUGUUUUUAGCAGCCGCUGCGGGCCUCGGCGUCCUCCACCUACGGGGAUGACCUGGCUUCUGUGGCCCCGAGGCAUUUACAGCAGGACGUGAAGCUGAAUGGAGCCGGCCUUGAGGUGGUGGACUCAGACCCUGAGCCUGAAGGGGAGGCGGAGGACAGGUAGCAGCUGGGCCCAACCCAGAAAACAGAGACAUAGGCUCAAUAUCUCCCCACCUCCCUCCCCUACCAACCUCCCCCGACGACCUGCCUCGACCCCCGUCCCCCGCGCCCCGACCCCCCACAGGUAGUGGGAGUGACUCAGGGUCAGAGGCUCAGAGUUCCUGGGGACAAAGUGGGACAUUCAUCCUCUCACCACCCUGGCCCACGCAACGCCCACCAGCGCACGCGCGUGUGUGUGUAUGUGUGCGCGCGUGUGUAUGUGUGUGUGUGUGCGCGCGUGUGUGUAUGUGUGUGUGCGCGCCCGCGCGCGCAUACGGUUCAAGGAUCCCUU